GUCCCGCUAUGGGGCUGUAUGUCCCUCUAUGGGGUUUUAGGUCCCUCUAUGGGUCUGUAUGUCCCACUAUGGGGUUUUAGGUCCCUCUAUGGGGUUUUAGGUCCCACUAUGGGGUUUUAGGUCCCUCUAUGGGGUUUUAGGUCCCACUAUGGGGUUUUUGGUCCCGCUAUGGGGUUUUAGGUCCCACUAUGGGUCUGUAUGUCCCACUAUGGGGUUUUAGGUCCCACUAUGGGGCUGCACAUCCCUCUAAUGGGGUUUUAGCGUCCGCUACUGGGGUUUUAGCGUCGCGCGUUAUGGGGCUGUACUCCCUCUAU
rnacentral:lncRNA from 1 species